rnacentral:rRNA from 1 species
GACGUAGGGUGCAAGCGUUAUCCGGAUUCAUUGGGCGUAAAGAGUUGCGUAGGCUGAAUGACGCAUUCUACUUGAAAUCCUGUGGCUCAACCACAGGUUUGGGUAGAAGAUGGUUAUUCUAGAAGGUUUCAGAGGGUACUGGAACACAUCAUGUAGCAGUGAAAUGCGUUGAUAUGAUGUGGAACACCAAAGGCGUAGGCAGGUACCUGGGAAACAUUUGACGCUGAGGCACGAAAGCUUGGGGAGCAAAGCAG